GACGAACGCUGGCGGCGUGCUUAACACAUGCAAGUCGUACGGUAAGGCCCUUUCGGGGGUACACGAGUGGCGAACGGGUGAGUAACACGUGAGUAACCUGCCCACAACUUUGGGAUAACGCUAGGAAACUGGUGCUAAUACUGGAUAUGUGCUCCUGCUGCAUGGUGGGGGUUGGAAAGCUCCGGCGGUUGUGGAUGGACUCGCGGCCUAUCGGCUUGUUGGUGGGGUAGUGGCCUACCAAGGCGGCGACGGGUAGCCGGCCUGAGAGGGUGACCGGCCACAUUGGGACUGAGAUACGGCCCAGACUCCUACGGGAGGCAGCAGCGGGGAAUAUUGCACAAUGGGCGCAAGCCAGAUGCAGCAACGCCGCGGGCGGGAUGACGGCCUUCGGGUUGUAAACCGCUUUCAGCAGGGACGAAGCUUUUUGUGACGGUACCUGCAGAAGAAGCACCGGCUAACUACGUG
rnacentral:rRNA from 1 species